rnacentral:rRNA from 1 species
AAGCUUGCUUCUCUGAUGUUAGCGGCGGACGGGUGAGUAACACGUGGAUAACCUACCUAUAAGACUGGGAUAACUUCGGGAAACCGGAGCUAAUACCGGAUAAUAUUUUGAACCGCAUGGUUCAAAAGUGAAAGACGGUCUUGCUGUCACUUAUAGAUGGAUCCGCGCUGCAUUAGCUAGUUGGUAAGGUAACGGCUUACCAAGGCAACGAUGCAUAGCCGACCUGAGAGGGUGAUCGGCCACACUGGAACUGAGACACGGUCCAGACUCCUACGGGAGGCAGCAGUAGGGAAUCUUCCGCAAUGGGCGAAAGCCUGACGGAGCAACGCCGCGUGAGUGAUGAAGGUCUUCGGAUCGUAAAACUCUGUUAUUAGGGAAGAACAUAUGUGUAAGUAACUGUGCACAUCUUGACGGUACCUAAUCAGAAAGCCACGGCUAACUACGUGCCAGCAGCCGCGGUAAUACGUAGGUGGCAAGCGUUAUCCGGAAUUAUUGGGCGUAAAGCGCGCGUAGGCGGUUUUUUAAGUCUGAUGUGAAAGCCCACGGCUCAACCGUGGAGGGUCAUUGGAAACUGGAAAACUUGAGUGCAGAAGAGGAAAGUGGAAUUCCAUGUGUAGCGGUGAAAUGCGCAGAGAUAUGGAGGAACACCAGUGGCGAAGGCGACUUUCUGGUCUGUAACUGACGCUGAUGUGCGAAAGCGUGGGGAUCAAACAGGAUUAGAUACCCUGGUAGUCCACGCCGUAAACGAUGAGUGCUAAGUGUUAGGGGGUUUCCGCCCCUUAGUGCUGCAGCUAACGCAUUAAGCACUCCGCCUGGGGAGUACGACCGCAAGGUUGAAACUCAAAGGAAUUGACGGGGACCCGCACAAGCGGUGGAGCAUGUGGUUUAAUUCGAAGCAACGCGAAGAACCUUACCAAAUCUUGACAUCCUUUGACAACUCUAGAGAUAGAGCCUUCCCCUUCGGGGGACAAAGUGACAGGUGGUGCAUGGUUGUCGUCAGCUCGUGUCGUGAGAUGUUGGGUUAAGUCCCGCAACGAGCGCAACCCUUAAGCUUAGUUGCCAUCAUUAAGUUGGGCACUCUAAGUUGACUGCCGGUGACAAACCGGAGGAAGGUGGGGAUGACGUCAAAUCAUCAUGCCCCUUAUGAUUUGGGCUACACACGUGC